rnacentral:rRNA from 1 species
AGUGAACGCUGGCGGUAGGCCUAACACAUGCAAGUCGAACGGCAGCACAGUAAGAGCUUGCUCUUACGGGUGGCGAGUGGCGGACGGGUGAGGAAUACAUCGGAAUCUACUUUUUCGUGGGGGAUAACGUAGGGAAACUUACGCUAAUACCGCAUACGACCUACGGGUGAAAGCAGGGGAUCUUCGGACCUUGCGCGAUUGAAUGAGCCGAUGUCGGAUUAGCUAGUUGGCGGGGUAAAGGCCCACCAAGGCGACGAUCCGUAGCUGGUCUGAGAGGAUGGUCAGCCACACUGGAACUGAGCCACGUUCCAGACUCCUACGGGAGGCAGCAGUGGGGAAUAUUGGACAAGGGACGCAAGCCUGAUCCAGCCAUACCGCGUGGGUGAAGAAGGCCUUCUGGUUGUAAAGCCCUUUUGUUGGGAAAGAAAAGCAGCAGGUUAAUACCCCGCUGUUCUGACGGUACCCAAAGAAUAAGCACCGGCUAACUUCGUG